AUGGUGUCGCUCGCCGCCCCGGCCUUCCACUCGCUGGCCUCGCAAGUCUCCAGGGCCUGCACCACGAGGGCGUCUUCGAAAUGCGAGAGCGCGCCCGGCCGCCGUGGAGCGAAGGCGCGGCCUCGGGCGGCGGGGACUGCGCAGGCGGCGGCGGUGGAGGCGGAGGAGACGCCGAGGUUCAGGUGGGAUGAGCUCGGGUCCGACCUUUCCGAGCCCCAGGAGCAGGCGAUGCGCGGCCUGUCCCCGAAGCUGCCCAACCGAUGCAGGGCGCUGAUGCCGCGCGUCCUGUCGCUGUCCCCCGGCGAUGAGAAUCUCGGCGUGGUCCUUGCGUUCUGGGUGAAGGCCAUGAAGCCCAAGAGGGCGGAUUGGCUGCUGGUCCUCAAGGAGCUCAAGGCUAUGGAGAGCCCGCUUCUCGCUGAGGUACUAGAAUAUGCACUGCUGGAGGAUUCUUUCGAAGCGAAUGUGCGCGACUACACCAAGUUGAUGCAAAUCUACGGCAAGCAAAAUCUGUUGCGGGAAGCCGAGGAAGCAUUCCAGGCCAUGAAAGCCAGAGGCCUCCCAUGUGAUCAGGUCAUGCUGACUGCACUGGUGGACAUGUACAGCAAGGCCGGGGAUCUCACCCGCGCAAAGGAAACAUUCGAAGAGAUCGUGUUGCUGGGCCUACCGCUCGAUAAGCGCGCGUACGGUUCGAUGAUCAUGGCCUACAUCAGAGCAGACAUGCUAGACCAAGCAGAAGAUCUGAUCAAACAGACGGAGGAUCAGCAGGUCUUCGCAGGAAAAGAGGUCUACAAGGCUCUGCUUAGAGCAUACUCGUACAAAGGCGAUUCAGAGGGGGCGCAAAGGGUUUUCGAUGCGGUGCAGUUCGCGGGGACGGUGCCAGACACAAAGCUGUGCGCGCUCCUGGUGAAUGCCUACUGCCUCUCCAAUAGGAUCGACGAGGCCGUCUGUGUGACCCGAAACAUGAGGAGUGCGGGACUGGAACCGUGCGACAAGUGUGUCGCCUUGAUACUCAGCGCGUACGAGAAGGCCAAUAGGCUGGAAGGAGCACUGGAGUUUCUGGCGGAGCUCGAAGAGAACGGCAUCGUGAUCGGCCAAGAGCCGUCGCAGCUGCUCGCGGCAUGGUUCGGGAGGCUCGGGGUGGUUCAUGAAGUGGAGCAGGUCCUGGAGGAAGUGAGUAAGAGUAGCAAGACCAAGCAGAGUGUUUCAGUCCUGAAGGAAGGGACGAAGAGUGGGAAGAGCAAAGACGGUGUCAAGAAGGAAUGGAGAAAAGGCAGAACGAGCAAACACAGCAUUUCAGUACACCAGCAACCCAGCAUUUCAGUCCAGAUGAAAGGGGCAACCAACAGGAAGAGCAGAAUCACUCAGUCCAUUACCUCUGCAACUGAAGUGAUUUUGUAA
rnacentral:rRNA from 1 species